rnacentral:rRNA from 1 species
GGAGUGGACUCCUACGUGAUGCAGCAGUGGGGAAUAUUGGACAAUGGACCACAAGUCUGAUCCAUCAAUUCUGUGUGCACGAUGACGUUUUUCGGAAUGUAAAGUGCUUUCAGUUGGGAAGAAAAAAAUGACGGUACCAACAGAAGAAGUGACGGCUAAAUACGUGCCAGCAGCCGCGGUAAUACGUAUGUUACAAGCGUUAUCCGGAUUUAUUGGGCGUAAAGCGCGUCUAGGUGGUUAUGUAAGUCUGAUGUGAAAAUGCAGGGCUCAACUCUGUAUUGCGUUGGAAACUGCAUGACUAGAGUACUGAAGAGGUAAGCGGAACUACAAGUGUAGAGGUGAAAUUCGUAGAUAUUUGUAGGAAUGCCGAUGGGGAAGCCAGCUUACUGGACAGAUACUGACGCUAAAGCGCGAAAGCGUGGGUAGCAAACAGGAUUAGAUACCCUUGUAGUCCUAG